UGUCAUUACGCAAAACUGCCAACUACCAACAAGUAGAGCAUUUGACUACCUUCUGUAUUUGACAAAAAUUUUAUUUCUACUUAUAUGCUAAUGUGUCAGACCCCGUGCAAAAUAAGACAGCCUAUAUAAUGUCUAAAAACAAAUUUGUCCCCAAUAUUUCUGUAAAAAGAGAACAUAUAAAAAUAUACAAUGAUAUAGUUUUAAAAGGGACACUGAAGGCACCCAGACCACUUCAGCUCAUUGAAGUGGUCUGGGUACAGUGUCCCCAGUCUACCAGACAGCAACUAUAUACUACACAAUAUAUAUACUACCUAUUUUUUCAUGACACAAAAAGAAGUAAUCAAAGGUGUUAAUUUCCACAGCC